CCUACGGGAGGCAGCAGUAGGGAAUAUUGGGCAAUGGGCGAGAGCCUGACCCAGCCAUGCCGCGUGCCGGAUGAAGGCCUUCUGGGUUGUAAACGGCUUUUCUCAGGGAAGAAAAAGCCCAUGCGUGGGACACUGACGGUACCUGAGGAAUAAGCACCGGCUAACUCCGUGCCAGCAGCCGCGGUAAUACGGAGGGUGCAAGCGUUGUCCGGAUUUAUUGGGUUUAAAGGGUGCGUAGGCGGCCCGUUAAGUCCGGGGUGAAAGCCCACAGCUCAACUGUGGAACUGCCCUGGAUACUGGCGGGCUUGAGUCCAGACGAGGUUGGCGGAAUGGAUGGUGUAGCGGUGAAAUGCAUAGAUACCAUCCAGAACCCCGAUUGCGUAGGCAGCUGACUAGGCUGGUACUGACGCUGAGGCACGAAAGCGUGGGGAGCGGAACAGGAUUAGAUACCCUGGUAGUCCACGCCGUAAACGAUG
rnacentral:rRNA from 1 species